CAGAUGCCACUAUCAUGUUCUAACGGACACUAAUCUGUAUCACAUUGAUCAACAAAGUAAACUGUGUCAUUAAAAAUAGAGGAUGUCC